CCAUUUUUCCUAACCCGAAAAAGCGCUGCUUAUUUCCGGCGCGCAUGUGCACGAUAGCCUUUUCCAUUUCUCUUCUGAAUUUUUAUACAGCUUUCACCUCUUUUGAUUUUUAUAUAAAAACUCAUUCUUCUUUUUUCGGUUCGGAAAGAAAGGAAGGAGACCCAAACAGAGACAGAGAGAGAGAGAGAGAAGAAAUGAAGAAGAAGAAGAAGAAAAAGAAGAAGAACGGAAAAUAUCGUGAUUUGAGGAGCUUCGGUUUUCUCCAAACAGGGACAAUAUGGGAAUUUCGUAAAGAGUGACCAUGCGUGGAAUGAAACUGAAAUCCUAUUGUCAAAGAAGCUCCUUCCUUCCAUUUUAGAUAUUGGCGCAUGGUGGCUCAAUCCUUUUAGGAAACAUUGUGUUAUUAGGGUUUAUCUUCCCAAUACAUGUUUCUAUGCUUCUCUUUAAUUUGCAAUAAUUUCAAACUUGAUACAUAAGGUUGGUGUUGCAUAAAUUCAAAAUACAAGAAAUUAUAGUGGUACACUUUUAUCA